AGGGCCUGAGCAUCUUCCCUGAGAGACUUAAGACUCAAUCCAGCCUGAGCAGAGGGGGACAACCUGAAGUCAAUCAUCUCCCACUCCUUUGUAGCGGGGGACUGUGCGAGGCGUUGGGGUUAGAGCAGUGGAAGGUGUAGCCGUGGUCCUGACCUCAUGGAGGUUAUAGUCUGGGAUUGAAGCCAUGCCCGCCAUAGUGGAAGCAUGGAGCCUUAACCACUGGACCACCAGGGAAGUCCCAAGGACCCUGACCCACGUGAAUCAACAUUUCUGUAUGGUGUGAGGUAGAAGUCAAGGCUCAUUCAGCACCCAUUUCUAACCAAGCUCCAUUUAAAUUUCUAGCACCAGUUUUUUGAAAAUACUUUUUUUUUUUCUUCUAGUGAACUGCAGUGGCCAUUUUCUUAUAAAUCAAGUGCUCAUAUAUGUACAAGCCUACUUCUGAGUUCUCUGUUCUGUAUAGUUGGUCUACUUGACUACUUUGUGCCAGUACUAUGUGUUAAUUAUUAAAGUUUUAUAAUGAGUUUCCACAUAUGAUAGUCUAAGUCCUCAAGCUUUAUUCUUCUCCAAAAUCACACUGUCUUUUUCUCUGCAUUUUCAUAUAAGCUUUAGAAUCAGAGUGUUAACUUUUAAAAAGCUAUUAGAUUUUUUAUUGGAAUUGCACUGAGUCUAGAGGUCAAUUUUAAAAGAAUUAGCACCUUAACAAAUACUGGCCUAACAACUCUCUAUCCCUUAAAACUCCAUCUGACCAUCAGGCCAACUUAGAUGCUGCUCCUUCUGAACUUUCAUUGUACUUCCUAUGUACUUAGGUAUGUUUAUAUUGUGUAUAGACUGAGCAGACUGCAUAGAAACUGAUUAGAUGUCUGUAUCUUCCUUAAGAGGUGAUCUCUUGGGCUACCAAGCCAUCCUUGUAUCCUAAUUCUUAGUAAAAUGCAUAGUAUAUAGUAAGUGUUUAAUAUAAGUUUGAUGAAUGAAUGAAUAAAACCCAAGUCACUUUGUA